CAGUCGCCGCGGGAAUACGGAGGAUCCGAGCGUUAUCCGGGAUUAUUGGGUUUAAAGGGUGCGUAGGCGGAUAGAUAAGUCAGUGGUGAAAGACGGUGGCUCAACCAUCGCAGUGCCGUUGAUACUGUUUAUCUUGAAUAUGGAUGAGGUAGGCGGAAUGUGGCAAGUAGCGGUGAAAUGCAUAGAUAUGCCACAGAACACCGAUUGCGAAGGCAGCUUACCAAGGCAAAAUUGACGCUGAGGCACGAAAGCGUGGGGAUCGAACAGGAUUAGAUACCCGCGUAGUCCCUGUCUCUUAUAC
rnacentral:rRNA from 1 species